rnacentral:tRNA from 1 species
GGGCGUGUAGCUCAGCUGGGAGAGCAUCUGAUUUGCAUUCAGAAGGUCGCAGGUUCGAUCCCUGUUCCUCCA